rnacentral:rRNA from 1 species
UACGUAGGGGGCGAGCGUUGUCCGGAUUUACUGGGCGUAAAGGGUGCGUAGGCGGGCAGGUAAGUCAGUGGUGAAAUCUCCGGGCUUAACCCGGAAACUGCCGUUGAUACUAUCUGUCUUGAAUAUCGUGGAGGUAAGCGGAAUAUGUCAUGUAGCGGUGAAAUGCUUAGAUAUGACAUAGAACACCCAUUGCGAAGGCAGCUUACUACACGAUCAUUGACGCUGAGGCACGAAAGCGUGGGGAGCAAACAGG